AUUAAAGAGAAGAAUUUCGAUUUUUUAUCAUUUUCGAUUUCGAUCAUUCGAAUGAGGUUGAACGUUUAAUGAACAGUUGAGAUAAUUACACUGGACAUGGAUGUUCAAUCAGCUAUGGUUUAGUGAAUAUGACAUGGAAUGAUCAAGUGAGCCAUGAUGAAUUGAACUUUCCAAUUGUUAUCUUCUCUUCUUGGGAUUCAUAUUUUGAAUUAUCACUUUUGCUUACCUUUUUAAUCUGACGACUAAACCAUCAUCAUCAUUAUGAUUAUCAUUUAUUGUUAUUCUGAACAUGAUUUAGGCGAAGCUUAAUAAGUGUUCAAUAGAAACAAUAAUUUAUACGUUUCCAUGAUCCAAGUAUUAAAAAGGAAAGGCAACAACUCUUGAUUAACGUUUGCUCAUCUUCUGAGCAAAAGAGAUUAACCAAUGACCUUGCUCUUGUUCAUCAUCAUCUUUUACCCUGUUCAUGAUGAACACUAUCAUUCGACUUGCAAAUCAUUAACAGAAUGAGGGUUGAGAAUUGUUGCCAAAAAAUGCUUUUCUUCUUCCCUUUCCUUUCCAAAGAUGAUCUCGUUGUGUUUAUCAAACAGUUUUGUCUUUUGCUCAUUGAAAAAAAGCCUUUUCUUGCAAACUCUCUGUUGCUUCAUCUUUAUCUUCAUGAAAUUUUUCUCUCUCCAUUCCAUCUUUCCUUUCUUCCUCAAUCAUGCUCCAUUUAUCUACUUGCAAAACUGUGAAUCACUAUCAAUGAAUCGUCUCACACAAUAAUCAUCCCAAGUUGAGCCAAAGCGCAAAGUUGAACCAAACAACAGAAGAGAAGAAAAAUCAAUUGAACAAGAAAUUAAGAAGCAAGAGAAUGAUGAUAACAGAGUAACAGUAUUUACCAUUGUAGGCACUGUAAAUGAUGAUGAUAGAAGAUGAAUAUGACAGAAACAAAUUCUUUAUUCAUUAAUCUAAUAUGAGAAUGAAAAUUGAAUCUAUUGAAGUUGAAGCAAAAAGAAGAAGAAAAAGAAGGAGAAAAAAGCAAAGCUUUACAAAAAAAAAGAAGCUUCUUCUUUCAACAAUAAAAUUCUGAAAUUGAACUUUUUUCUUCUCCUUUUGUAUUUAAUGAAACUGAUGAUACUGAUAACUGUUGUUAUUAGUCAUUAUUAAACUUGCUCGACUUUCUGUUUGUUUCCCAGUUUCUUUGGUAAAAAAAAGUUCAUCCAAAUGAAAUCGCUUCAAUCGUAGAAAUGAAAAUUCUUUUUGCCCAAAAUUCAGUUCCAACUCCCAGGAAAUAAUCUGCCCAACAGAGUGAAUAAUUGAUAGGAAAAAAGGAUUUCCGGAAAUGAAGAUUGAAAUUAUUCUCUCAAUAAUUAACAUUUGAUUGGAAAUGCAAAGUUUCCAAUUUUAUCAAUUUUUCGCAAAUUUCGCCUUCCAUUCAGAACUAGUGAUGAAAAUUAAUAUCUCGUUAUUUGAUAUUUGCAAUAGUAAUAAUAAAUUACUUGAAAAAACGGUUCACUGAAUAGUAAUUGAUGCUUGUCAGAUAAAUGUUAUAUAAAUAUAAAUGCAUUUAGAUGAAUCAAUCAUAAUCACAAUCAAGGUAUUAAUUUUCAUUCAUUUUUCAUUUUUUUCUGUGUGUUUGCGAUUUUCCAAUGUUGGUCAAAGAAGAGGAAAAGAUUGGGAAAAUCGUUGAACAAAUGUUCAGAAAUGAUGCUAAUUUUGGCUUCCAUUUGGUAAACAAUUGUAAUGAAAAAUUGUUAUUACCAAUUCCAAUGACCAUUGCUUUUAUUCAUUUCCUUACAAUGUUGCAAGUUGACCAACUACUUCAACUGAACCCAACAGUCUCAACAGUUUUUGGCUUGUUAUUGCUUCUUUCAAUGGUUGCUUGGGACAAGACGAGUGUACCUGUACUCGGGUCUGGUCACUUGUACUGCUGCUGCAAGGUUCAACUGAUGAUGAAAUUUUGAGUCAACUUUAUCUCAUGCAGAGUAUCAUCAAAUAAUUGCGACAAUUUAGUUUCCUAUUCAACCAACAAUGCAACUCAAGUGGAGGCUCAAAUUAAUGACUUGCGGCUUGCUUCGAUUAUCUAAUGAUUUCAACUUGCAACAGUCUCCCAGAUGCAAAGUUCAUUAUCAGUUCACAUUUUACCAUUUCUAAUGAAGACAUGACACUUGGAGACUUUUUCCGUUUCAGGAGUUUCGAGUUUUCGAGGAACCUUGAAACAUUUUACAGUAACCUUGCCUUGAUUCACAUUCAUAAACAGUACCAUCAAGUGGCGUGGGUUGAUUACUAAUUAUGUUGAUUAAUAAAGCCAACAAUCUUUGCGUUCUUUGCAAAGAGUCCAAAUUGCUUGGAAUGGAUUUUUCUUUCAACUCUUUAUUCGUUUCAGAACUUUUCUCUUUUCUAUUCAAUCAGUGCAACACUGACUUUUUCUUGGAUUUUGAAUCUCUUUUUGUCGAAAUUCCGACGUUUUGUUCAGAAUCGAAUUUUAUUUAAUCUUUUUUUUAUGUAAUUUUCUUCAACGAAAAUGAUUAUUUCAUGCAAGAUUAUGUAAGCAUUGACGCAUGUAAAAUUAGAUGUUUGAUAUUAAUUGUGAAUGUUGAAUUAGCAUAAUUGUAUUGAAGUUGAUUCCAAAUCAAGGUGAUUGUUGAGGUAAAGUAAGAAACAAAAGAACAUUAAAAGUAAAUUUGAUUAAAGCUGCCAAGUCUCUGGAUGCUCAUUGAUGAGCUUCAAAUUUGGAGCAAAUUUCGCCUAAUCUCAUAUUUGAGGAAAGCUAAUCCAGUUUACAAAGUCAAGGUUACAGCUGAUGAAAUGUUGAACAGCCAUUGAGGUUGCGCUACUGGUGAAUGAGACACGUUUUUGUGAGAUUCAAGUGAAGCCAAAAAGAGCUUAAAAUGUUAACCUAAAAGUCAAACUGUUCAAGUCAAGCUUGAGUAAAUAGUCAGGCCUUUGAGAGUGUAAACUGAAAAAAAAGACUGACAAAGAAUCGCUCAAACAGAAUGCUUAAAAUGAAAAUUAUUUUUAGUUGAAAAUGAAAAUCUUUGAUAUUCCAUGCUCUUGAAUAUCCGAUUGAAGCAUGAUUAAUGAUUAAAGUUUAAAUUAAAGUUCAACUUUUCAUGGAAACCCAAAUCUUCAAUUUUUUUUCUUCUCCUCAACAUAAAAUUCCAUUUGACCAAUUUUAACAUAUUUUCGGUUGAAAAGGAAAAUCCUUUUAGGUGUUUCAGAAUAUAUAUUCAUGGAAAUGACUGAAGCAAAAAGUAAAGUUGCAAUAACAGUUGAAGUGUUUCCAGGUUUAACUCAUUGAAAAAGGGUGCUUAAUGUCUAGUGAUUCUGGUCAAGAUUGACCAUUUACAUGAUGAAAAGGUUAACGAUAAAAGUAUUUCUAAUGGUUUGUACAUUUACAGUUGAAUCCUCGAACACAAUGUUUGCCGAGCUCGGUGUUACCUGAUAUUGAAAGUUUAGGAAAAAAAAGAGAUUGAACUUUACAAAUGAAGAGAGAAAAAAUGAAAAAUUGUUGAUAAAAAUAAGUGUUUUUACCCUUUUUUCGCUGUUCAACAUAAUUCAAUCAUCUUUUCCUUUCCCUGAAUCUUUCAUCCUUGUUAAAGUAUUUUCAUUUCUUAUUACGUUCCUCUUUACCAUUCUCAUUGCCUUCAUUAUCAUCAACAGCAUUUGCUUUUCUCUCUUCAUUUCCAUUUCUUAUCCCUUUGCUUACCUUUCACUUACCUUUCACUUUCAUCUUCAGUCUGCAUCAUCUUGUUCACGGAUCACAAAGUUUCAAGAAUAAAAGGAAAUUGCUUCUCUCCAAGCAUAACUUAUUUUCCACCAUUUUAUUCAGAUAAUCUUGUAUCAUCAGAAUAUAAUAACUUUUACAAUCCUUUACUUAUUCAUUAUCAUUUCUCAUCAUCAUCUUCAAGUCUAGACAAUCUUGAAAGCUGAAGAAGAAGGAGGAAGAAGAAAACUGAAAAUGUGUCUUCAAAUUAAACUGAUCAACUCUUUUUGUUUCCAACCUUUCGUUUCCAAUUGAAACUUGUAAAGUGAUUCCAAUUGAUAGAAAUGAGCGAAACGAUUCAGUUAUUGAAUUUGAUGGUGACAAUGUUUUUUCAUGGAGAAAUGGGAAAGGACGAAGAAGAAAAGAGAAUCGAAAGAAAGUAACACUUCUUUUUGACAUUCUAUAAGGUUAACUGAGAACUGUAAACAUAAUAUACGAAAGAGAAUCCAAUUUAAGAAUAAGAAAUUGAAGGAAGAGAAUGAUGAAGAUGAGGAUAAGAAUGGUGAACAUGAAGAAAUGUGAAAAAAAGGGAAAAUGAAAGCUGGGAAAAACAAGGUUUUAUCGAUCUUGACAAUCUUCUUGUUUUUCUUGCUCACAUUUUCUUCCAUUUCUUGCAAUAUCAUCAUCAUCUCUCCAUCCUUUUCUUCUUCCAGAUAUUUUCUUCUCUUCUUUCUUCCUCUCUCUCUCUUCAGAAUUGAACAAGUUAAACUGACAUUAGAUGAAGAAAAGAAAUCGUUUGAUGGAUAAAUAUAUAUUGUAUAUUCUGAUUUGCUACGAAUUGUUGACUAUGGAAAAUGUUGAAAGAAGAAGUGAAAAAUUAUUCCAAGUUGCUGUUCAGUUUUAACAUGUAACACAGAGAACAGAGUAUCGAUUUGUGGCUAUUUAAUUGUAAAGAAAUGCUAAGCAACCAAAAAGUCAUCAUGAAAGAAGAAUCAAGAUACAAAUGAUGAAGGAAAAGUGAACAAUGAAUGAGGAAAAGGUAAACUUUAAGUUUAACAUAAUUUUCCUAUCUAUUUAUUGAGACAAUAAAUUAGUUGGAAAUAGUUUUUUGUGCUAAAAAAAGUUUUCAUUUGAAGGGAAAAAUUAUUGUAAUGAGAAAACAUUUGCAACUUUAGUCUGACAAGGGAAGCAAUCGUAAUGCCUAAAACCGAUUUGAAAGGUCAUUCGAUGAAGCAUGUUGAGUUUUGACAAAAACUUAUUGGGUUUCCUCUGUAUGGUGAGUGGUUCCUCAGAUAUUGGGUUUAAAAUUUGAUUAUAAUCAUAUUCAAAAAUCGCAAAGUGAAUUGAGUGUCAGCUCAGUAAAUAAAGUUGUAAGGUUAACUGUAAAGCUUCUGAGUCGAGUCUCAAUGUUGUAAUAAAUAUCACUUCAUUACUGUAAUCAUAUAACAACAAUCUUAUGGUAUUUAGGAUGAGCACGUCAUCGAGAUGUUAUUGCAGUACGCCAAGCAUCGAUGCAGAGGCAUCGAUGGAAGACUAGACUGACACCACCAUUGGUCCAGUCUUUUAUACGACCGAACAGCCUCGAGUUUGACUGUUGGAAAUAACUUCAACAAACUAACCGAUGGAAAUAAUUUUCCAUUAAAUUAACUAAAAUUUAGUUGAAUUAACAAUUGGAUAAGCACUAAGUCCAAUUGACGAAACACCAGUUACAUUCAUUUUCAAGUUACCACUUUGGAGUCGAAAUUCAACUCCUCUCAAUUAUCCUUUAGUUGAAACAAAGAGUUUGUUUUACCCUUCUGACCAUUGUUAAGAAUAAGAAAUGUAUUUUUCAAGACAGGGAAAUAGACAGAAUAAAGAAAGAGGAGAAUAAUUUGGACCAUUUCUCUUUCUCAUUUUAGACACUUAAAUUUUGAAUAUUAUUUCAUUAGUCGAUAUAAUCUAAACCACUGAGAAUGAAAAAUUUAUUAGAAUCAACUUUAGUCACCAACUUUGUCACCUUUAGUAAUCAAUGCUGAUUGUUUAGAUUAAAGUCUAAUCUUGAUGAUGCAAAAUGACCCAAUGAUACACAAUGAACUCACAGUAAACCUCUUAUCCUAUGAAAGUGACAUUUUAAUCCUUAUUGCUAAUAAGUUGCUGGAAUCAACUUUAAUCAUCAACUCUGACUAGUCUCUAGUCAUAAACCUUAUCGAUUCAGAUCUUGUCAGUUUCUUGUUACAAUAAUAAUGCAAAAUAACCCAAUGAUGCUUGAAGCUUACAUAAGCAAAGGUUGGUUAAUAACUGAAUUGAGUGACUUUUCAUUUCACGAUAAAUUUCAAUGUUUAUCAAGAUUGACUUUUCCUAUUUGCUAAUUUACUUGUGCAAAUGGGUUUUCACAGUAAACUUGUUAUCCAAGUUACGAAUGUCAACUUUUAAUACUGUCAUUGUUAUUACCUUUGUUGAUUAAACUGACAAAUGGUUAAAGGUUAGCAAGAUUGAGUUGAACAUUGGACACUUUCAUCGUUAAUUAAGGGUAAAUAAUGAAUGAUAAUUGUCAACAGUUUAUCAAAAUGUUAUCAUAAUCACAAUUGAAAUAAACAUCACUUGCUUCUCUCUGCUCAUUAUGAUUCGUCUCAACACAAUUAACUUAAUUGUUCAUUAACCUGAAUGGUUAACCACAAAUUAAUUGUUGAAACUUGUUAACUUCAAGAUGGCAAAAGGUUGGGACCAAGUCAAAGUCCAACAGCAAUUAGACAAUUGUUUAAAUGUUAAAUGUUUAAUGAUCAUAAUUGACAAAUGUGAUUGAUUGUGAUUAACUUUGACGGUUGGAAAUGAUUUUGGAAGCAAAUGAAAACUUUUAUCGAUUGUAAUUGAAUCUCGGUUCUGUUUAAACAAUUUAAUCAAUUGAUGGUCACAAUCAUUAAUCAUUAUUGAUUAAUAAAUUCAAUUGUUUGAAAUGUUGGCGAAAUUGUAAAAAUCGAAAAAAGCGUUUAAUUGUUCAACACACAAUUCAUUGUCACUUUCAAUUGAACCAAAUGAAAGUGUUGAAAGCGAUAACAUUUUUUAUCGACGAUAAAUCAAAGAUGAACCUUUUCGAGUAAAAAAAUUCAUCUUGAAAUUGUUCCACUGAUCAAUUGAUUUAAUCAUUUAUCUGUUGAAUCUGGGUUAGUUUUAUCAUGAUUGGUAACAAUUGCGAUUAGAGAAAAAAAGGAAAAGCAAAAAAAAAGAUUUACUCUGAUAAUCUGAUGAAGAGGAAAGAAAAAUGAUGUUUUUGUUUGUCGGCAUAAUGAUGAUGAGAAGAAGAUGAAUGACAAUGUAUCAAACUUGAACUGAUGAUGAGUAUGUAACUGAUGAUAGUUAACUCUCUCUCUGCUUAUCUUCCCGAAGAGGAAUGAGAGUGAAAUGUUCAUUUUUUGGCUUCUUGCUGUCAAUAAGUUGAAUAAACAGAAAAGCCAAAGAUGCAAGAUUAGCGUACAACAAUUAUCUCAAUUACACAACAAACCAACAACUUUAAACACUUGAAGUAAACUUGUAAUUCAUCAUAAUCAGUGCUCUUUGUGAAUCAACUUUAACCAUUUGUUCAAGUGUAUUGUUUAGGGUCAAUCGCUGGGACUCUUUCACUUCUGGAAAAGGAAAUCAAAAUCAAAUUAAAUCUAAUCUAACCUAAUCUAACCUAAACUAGCAUUAAAGUUAACCAUUAUUUGGCAAAACCUCAAGGAUAUGGAUAAGGCAAACGUUGGAUAUUUUGCUUCUUCAAAAACUGUCUUCAAUUAUAAUUUGAUUAAAGGCUUUUGUAAUCAAUCGUGUGGUUAGUCAAAAUGAAACAAACUUCGUUCUUGCUUGCAAAAUAAAUCGAUCUCAAUCAAUCGAUAUUCAAUUUGCAUUUUCUUUUGGUUAACAUUUUUCGUUCAUCAAUUGAUUCAACUCAUGCCAGUUCAAUGUCAUUUUUCCUCUAUUUUUAGAGCCAAUAUUUUUGUCGACUUUUGGUAAAAAUUUCAUUUCGAAAUAUCGAUUUGCUCUCAAGCUUUUCCAUGCAAUACCAACAUCGAAGUUUCACAAAAUUUAUAAUUUCGCAUUUCGAUUAGAGUAUAAAACUGACUUAGCUCAAUCAUUUGCAUCCCUGAAAAUUGUGAGUUUAACCAGAAAUCUUUCGAAUCUUUAAUAAAAUUUUCCCAAAAAAAUGUCCAAAUUGAUUUUCUGCUCACGCAAAGGAAAGUUUUGACCAAAAUUGAAAAAAACAAAAAUCUGAAAAAAUCAUUUUCCAUUAGCAAAAAGCUUCGAGUUCACGCUAAAGACUCCAAUAGAACCGACCAGUAGAAAUAAAACUCCAAAUCGAUUCGAAAUAAACAAAUCUCGAAACAUUAUUAUUCCUAGUUCAUUGAUAAAAAUCAGAAUAGAAAUGGUUUGAAAUGGCGAAGCAAAAGAAGCAAAAAAUUAACCUUUUAUCCCAAAGUAAAACUUGUGAACGAAAAGUCGAUUAAAAGCGUCCAAAGUCUCUCAAUGUCAACGGAACAAAUGUUAUCAACUUUUCACAUUCAUGAAAUUAUACCAACUGGAUAAGAUGAUUUUAAGGGUGGCUAAGUGGGAGUUAAUAACUGCAAAAAUAUCAAGUGCGUGAUGAAAGUAAGAAAACAAGUUGGAAAUGAUUAUAAUAAUAAUCCAAGUAGAUAUUGUUUGCUCAAUAUAUAAACUAAUAUCAAUAGUUAAAUGAAAUAUAUUCAACGUUUCUUUACCCAUUAGGCUAAUUUGUCCAACCAAUAAAAGAGUCAUUUGUUUUCAUAUUGACAAGAAUAAGUUGUACCAAGGAAUAAGCAGAAAAGACGAAACAAGAUGAGAGAAGACGAAGAAGAAGCAAAAGUAAAGAAAGAAAUGACAAUCGAUUAUUAUAAUAGUGCAAUAUCGAUAAAUAGACAGACAUGUUGAUAAUAGAAAAGGUUGAAAAGUAAAUGAAGAAAGCAAAAGGUAAAAGUAAAACUGAAAAGUAAUAAGUUUUUUUCAGGUUAACUUAGAAAAUUUAUUCUCAUUUUUAUCUCUUCUUUCCUGUUCAUUAUCAUUAUUAACCAUUUAUAUACAUAUUAUCGUGUAUUGCGUGCAAACCAGAAAACAAAAGCUCAUUACAAACUCCCAGUAAAAAUAAGCAAAACUCCCUUCAACUCUAUUACUCUUAUCAUGUUGAUUCAUUUUCUUCUUCUUCUUUGUUUUCUCUUCUUUUUUUCAGUGAAACAUAUUUGACAAGUCAAGUAUCAUGACUUAAGUGAGAUUGGCUAAUAUUUUUGCUUCUCGUUAUUCACUCAAUUUCAUCUUUUCUUUAUUCGAGCAAUGAUACCUGAGCAAGUUGUGUGCAACAUUGUCAGCUUUUGACGUGAUACUUGGCUAUAUUAGUUGUAUUUGAUUUCAAAAGGUAAACGAUUAAUGCUCGAGUUAAAUUAAAAUUUUCAUUCCAAAGAGUCGAAUGUUGACAUUUCAACUUGAACUUUUACCUUUACAGUUAUGUGAAUAUUUUUACCUCAUUGGAUGAAUUGUUGUAAUUGUUCAUUUUUUGUGUUAUUAUUUCUUCUCAUGCAAUUUUCUCAUAGAUGAAACUCAUGUCAAUGAUGAUGGAUAACAAAUUGAUCAUUUCAGUGUUUACCUUUUACCGUUUCGUUGUCAUUUGUUGACUCAAUAAUUGGUUUUUUUUUCAGUUUUCAAGAAAUGUUCAAGUUAUUAUUUAUUCAUUUGGUGAAGUGAAAAGAUGGCGAACAGUGUUGAGGAUGGAAAAAGUGAAAAUAUCAUAUUUCACCGAAUGGACUUGAACUUAUUCUUGCCUUCAACUUUUCUCAUCCCUUUUUUGCCUACUUUUUGUAAAUGUUUUGCUUUACUUGAAAUGUUGAUGAAUGGGUUUGAGAUUGUUUUUGGAGUAUAACCAAACAAUAAGUACACUUUCAUCUACACUUUGUCCUGGAAGCACAACAACACUCAACUGCACAUAUAAUAACACUAAUAAUACAAUACAAUCUAAUACAAUGUACUUUUUGUUUUCUGGUUAAAUAGGCAGAAGAGGAGAAGAGUGGAAGAGGAAGAGAGUGGGAAUGGUUGAGAGGGAAAAGAGAUUGCAAGAAGGAUUGGAAAGAUGAACAAGAUAGAUGAAUGAAGAUGAAGUAAAACUGUGAAAAGAUUUGUUUCUCAUUUUGCAAGAAAAAUGAGUGAGAAACAAGAAACAAACUCAACAUUUGUGAUGCUUUUUUUCUUCUUCUUCACUUUUCUUCUUGUUCGUCUACGAACACAUUCACCGUCAAUCAUUUCAUUUUAUCUCAAUUCAUUUUAUUCUCUUCUCUUUUCGCCUUGUGAACAUUUUCAGCUUGAAAACAUUUCCAAUUCAAAGUAAAUGUACACUUUCAAGUUUCUUUGAAUAAUUUUAGGAAACAAAAGUCAUUGUCCAGUCAAACUUUGAAAAAUUGCUAUUCGUCUUGUGUUUGCAUUUCGAAACAUUGGAAAUGGUUCGAUCUAAAAACUAAUCAUUUCACUUGAAGUUCGAUUAGUAUCGAAAUUCCAUUCGAAAAAUUACAAGAAAAUGGAGAAACAAGAAAAGCGAUAAAUAUCAAAAACAUUUGCUUCGAAAAAUAUUUUUGUCGAAAAAUUAAAUUCGUAUCACCAGAGAAACUUUCAUGUUAAUAACGAUUGCAUUUUUUAUGGAAUCGUAAUUUUAAGGGAAAUCUAUUUUUUCGUUGUUCGCUAAAAGGAUUGAAUUAGUGCGAGUUGCGAGUGGUUUGUUUUGUGGUCAAAGUAAAUCUUUUUUUCUCGAUUUGUUGACAAAUUGAAUUCGAUAUGAUUCAUUUUGUUUGGAGAAAAGUUUAUCAGAAUUUAUUCUGAAAUGUUUUUGAUUUGUGAAAGCAAAUGGACUUGAAGCAACUGCAUUCAUUAAAUGCUAUCCAACGAAAGUUGCAACUUUUUCUGUCUGAUUGUUCAUUAUUGUCAUUUAAUAUUUGGUGAAAGACAAUGAACUUGAAAGUUGUGUCAUUAAAAUGUUAUCUGAAUGUGAACAAAUUGAGUCUGAAAAUGAAGGGAACGAAAAAAUCGAAAAAGUAAAAUAAAGAAACGGAAAUCGCGAAACAAAUAAAAAUAACGUUGAAAUAAAAGCAUGUUUUCCUUGUUGUUACUGAUGAUGAUGAUGAUAAGUGAAUGGUGAAACAUUUUUACAUAAUUGAAGUUAACGUGAAGUUGUUUGGAAAGAAGAAGAAAAAGGGAGAGAAAAAAAGCGUUUUCAGAAUUACAGGGAAGUUCCAUUAUCAAGUGAGUUAUUUAAAUUGUAAACUCACUCAGAGUUUGUCUUU